rnacentral:rRNA from 1 species
GAUUCUGGCUCAGGAUGAACGCUAGCUACAGGCUUAACACAUGCAAGUCGAGGGGCAGCAUUGGGAUAGCUUGCUAUUCAGAUGGCGACCGGCGCACGGGUGAGUAACGCGUAUCCAACCUUCCUGCCAGUAGGGAACAGCCCGGCGAAAGUCGGAUUAAUGCCCUAUGUUCUUCAAUGCGGACAUCUAAGUUGAAGGAAAGAUUCAUCGCUGGCAGAUGGGGAUGCGUCCGAUUAGCUUGCCGGCGGGGUAACGGCCCACCGGGGCGACGAUCGGUAGGGGUUCUGAGAGGAAGGUCCCCCACACUGGUACUGAGACACGGACCAGACUCCUACGGGAGGCAGCAGUGAGGAAUAUUGGUCAAUGGGCGUAAGCCUGAACCAGCCAAGUAGCGUGCCAGGAUGACGGCCCUACGGGUUGUAAACUGCUUUUAUGCGGGGAUAAAGUGCGGCACGUAUGCCGCUUUGCAGGUACCGCAUGAAUAAGGACCGGCUAAUUCCGUGCCAGCCGCUGC